rnacentral:rRNA from 1 species
UACGUAGGGGGCAAGCGUUGUCCGGAUUUAUUGGGCGUAAAGAGCGUGUAGGCGGCCAGGUAGGUCCGCUGUGAAAACUCGAGGCUUAACCUCGAGAUGUCGGUGGAAACCAUCUGGCUAGAGUCCGGAAGAGGAGAGUGGAAUUCCUGGUGUAGCGGUGAAGUGCGCAGAUAUCAGGAAGAACACCCGUGGCGAAGGCGGCUCUCUGGGACGGUACUGACGCUGAGACGCGAAAGCGUGGGGAGCGAACAGG